rnacentral:misc_RNA from 1 species
AACGCAUAUUGCGCCCUUUGGUAUUCCGAAGGGCAUGCCUGUUCGAGCGUCAUUAUCAUAAUAUCAAGCUUGGCUUGUUGUUGGGCCCUUUUGUCACCUGGUGACAGGUCCAAAAGACAAUAACCGGUGUCAUACAGACUCUAUAUGCAACGAGCUUAUAACAGCACGCAUCUGGUGGUCGUGUGGCCCGGUUUUCACUGAUAAAUUUUAUCAUUCUCAAGGUUGACCUCGGAUCAGGUAGGAAUACCCGCUGAACUUAA